rnacentral:lncRNA from 1 species
AUCUGCCAUAACAUAAAACAUUUCGGACAAUUCUAGCAUAAAAAAAUGUACUUUAUUCGCCUCUUUUUCGUUUGCCUCCGGUUGCUGGAUUUGAUUCAAACUUGGAACAUAAUUAACGAAAAAUGGCCAAUGUGAAGGCAUUGUCAAUACUGGUAAAUGCACUCGUGUGGCAUUACUAUCUGAAGGUACAAAGGGUAUCAGGACGCAGCAUAAAGUGGAACAGGACACAGCUGUGUUACACAGGAAUGUCUGGAUACAAAAAGAUUUCAGCAAGGAAGGAAGAUGAUGUGGAGAUAGCUUCAAAUCAAAGGGAAUAUUCAUUAAUUUAUGAAUAAGGAUAUUUUACAUUUAAUAUGUGGUGUAAACAUGAUCUCUUGUGAAUAAAGAGAGAGACGUCACGUUAGGUUUAGUUUAGCCGUCAAGAGGAGAAAAACUAGAGUAGAUUAAGCUUUUGCUUUUGAGAGAAAGAGAGUGAUUCUUAGAUUAGGUGUUAAGCUAAGUGUCUCAAGUUCAUUAGGAAUUUAUUGGUGUCAACUAAGGGGUCUCUUAGUAUUGAGUAAUUCCAUUUAGGCAAAGCUUGGUGUAAGAUUGUCUAAACAAUUUCUAUUGAAAGUUAUUGAGGAUUAGACACGUUACCAAACCUUGUGAAAUUGCUUGUGUGCUCAUAUUCUCGUAUUAACAAGUGGUAUCAGAGCGGGUGACCGACCUGAGUAUAAGCUCAAUACAGGUUAAGAUCCUGAGAAGAGAAUAUGGAGUCAUAUGCACAACUACUCGAUGUUUACAAUCCUCUAUUGUUAGAUGGUGCGAAUUAUGGGUAUUGAAAAGUGAGAACAAAGACCAAUAUAUGUGACAUCGAUGAAGACGCUUGGACGGCUGUUGCGUGUGGUUGGGAAAAGCCAUAUGUGACAACCGAGGAUGGAGAAUUAGAGGCUAAGCCAAGGACAAAGUGGACUGCAACAGAGAAAAAGAUGUCUAAGUUUAACUCAAAGGCGUUGAACUCAAUUUUCAAAUCUGUGAAUCGAAGAGAAUUCGAACUGAUACAAGGGUGUGAAUCAGCUAAAGAGGCGUGGGAUAUACUGCAAAAUGUCUUUGAAGGUACAUACAACGUUAAGAGAACAAAGUUAGAGUUACUUGCAUCAAAAUUUGAAAAUAUUCGGAUGAAUGAUGAUGAGAAGAUAGCGGAUUUCAGUGCUAGGCUCAGUUCCAUUGCGAAUGAAGCACAAGUGUUAGGUCAGAGAUACAAAGAUGCAAAAUUGGUGAAAAAACUUUUGCGAUGCUUGCCGCCUAAGUUUUUGUCUUUGAAAACUGUGAUAAAAUUGACAAAGAAUAUGGAUGAGCUCAAGUUUAAUGACACAGAAGGGAUGCUACAGGCUGAAGAGAUCGAAAUGGAUUCUAACUCACCUAAACUUCUUAAGGAUCAUGUGUUUACAGUGGAUGAAGACAAGCAACAGAUACUGAAAGUUGAAGAAGUUAUGCGCUUGAUGAUACAUAAAUUUGAAGAGAACAUAGAUCUUUUGUUUAAGAUUGUGACAACCAGAUUAAAAGAAAAGGAGGAAGGACAGAACAAAUAUGAUGUUGAGUGUUAUAAAUGUCAUGGUUUUGGACAUAUCAAAUCAGAUUGUCCAUCGUUCAAGAAAAAAGAAAUCAAGUGUAACAAGUGCAACGGUUAUGGUCAUACAAAAGGAGAAUGUAUCAGCUCACAGAAGAAGAUGAUGAAGAAGAUGGGUCAACGUGGCAGUGAUAGAAAGUCAUGUGAAGAAAAAGACGUACUCAACCUUGUAGCUUUGCAUGGAUGUAUGAAAUCUGAGAAAGAAAACAAAGAACAUGAAUCUACAGGUUCUUGUGUACCACAGACGAUUUCUGUCGCAACAGACAGUGACUCAGAAAGUGAUCAAGAUAUUAACGUUCAAGCUGAAUUCAGAAGUCUUUUUGACAGUUGGGGUUAAAAUCAGCAAUGAUAACAUUCAGUUGAUCAAGACAAAUAGGAUGUUGGAAGUCAAGGUGAUCAUGUUGGAGUUAAAAACAGAUCCAGAAAAACAGUGUGUGAGUUCUCUGUUGCAGACAGAAGUGUUCUGGAACAGAAGAUAAACAAGCUUCAGGAGGAAGUUCAAUGUGAGAAGGAGAAAAGCAAAUCAUUGGAGCAUGAGCUGAGCGAGAAUCAUAAGAAGAUUCACAUGCUAAACAAUGGGUCAGCAAAUUUGGAUCAAAUUUUAGUCAUGGGAAGAACUGAGAAACAUCAUUAUGGGCUAGGAUAUCGUGGAAUAUCAACUCGUGUUAGUGAAAACACAGAAAAACUGAGUAAUUUUGUUCUUGGUAGCACAUCUCUCUGUACGGCACAAGGACAUGAACCUGCUCAUGAUGCUUCAAAAAUGAUGGGUGUAAGUAUGAGUUGUAAUACAUUACACGGUGAUUUGAAGAAAAAUGAUCAAUCUCAUAAGGCGACGAGCAUCACAUCUCGACAAUCACAGAGCUGUAUUCAUUGUGGCAGUGUUGGACACGUUGUAGCUUUUUGUGUCAAAAGGCAAGAAAGUAUCAAACGAGCAUGGCAGCUGAACAAAUGUUUCAUUGAACCAAGAAGAUACAAUGCAAUAUGGAUAGCAAAACAAGAUUUGUAUGUGAAGUCUAUUCAAGGUGAAGAUUCAGUUCAGUAUCAUGUGACACAAGAUAAAGCUGUGCCAGACAUUCCUGUUCAACUAGAGAAGAAUGCAUAAUCACAAAGUAAUGAGAAUACUUGUGUGAUUGUUGAUGCAAAAAGUAUUUAGGUUUUUACCUAAGUGUGCACUCAAGCAGGGGGAGAACAUGGUGCAAAGAUGCAGGGGGAGUGAGUUUUUGAUUAAUGAGCUUGAGUUGACACACUCAGAUAAAAAAAGGGAGAAUGAAGGUACAAAGGGUAUCAGGACGCAACACAAAGUGGAAUAGGACACAGCUGUGUUACACAUGAAUGUCUGGAUACAAAAAGAUUCCAGCAAGGAAGGAAGAUGACGUGGAGAUAACUUCAAAUCAAAGGGAAUAUUCAUUAAUUUAUGAAUAAGGAUAUUUUACAUUUAAUAUGUGGUGUAAAGAGAGUGAUUCUUAGAUUAGGUUAAGCUUUUGCUUUUGAGAGAAAGAGAGUGAUUCUUAGAUUAGGUGUUAAGCUAAGUGUCUCAAGUUCAUUAAGAAUUUAUUGGUGUCAACUAAGGGGUGUCUUAGUGUUGAGUAGUUCCAUUUAGGCAAAGCUUGGUGUAAGAUUGUCUAAACAAUUUCUAUUGAAAGUUAUUGAGGAUUAGGCACGUUACCAAACCU